rnacentral:rRNA from 1 species
UACGGGGGGGGUAAGCGUUGUUCGGAAUUACUGGGCGUAAAGGGCUCGUAGGCGGCCAACUAAGUCAGACGUGAAAUCCCUCAGCUUAACUGGGGAACUGCGUCUGAUACUGGAUGGCUUGAGUUUGGGAGAGGGAUGCGGAAUUCCAGGUGUAGCGGUGAAAUGCGUAGAUAUCUGGAGGAACACCGGUGGCGAAGGCGGCAUCCUGGACCAACACUGACACUGAGGAGCGAAAGCCAGGGGAGCAAACGGG